rnacentral:rRNA from 1 species
GGAUUAAUACUUCAUAGUAUAUAGAUAUGGCAUCANUAUUAUAUUAAAGAUUUAUCGGUAAAAGAUGAGCAUGCGUUCUAUUAGUUAGUUGGUAAGGUAACGGCUUACCAAGACUGCGAUAGAUAGGGGUCCUGAGAGGGAGAUCCCCCACACUGGUACUGAGACACGGACCAGACUCCUACGGGAGGCAGCAGUGAGGAAUAUUGGACAAUGGGCGAGAGCCUGAUCCAGCCAUGCCGCGUGCAGGAAGACUGCCCUAUGGGUUGUAAACUGCUUUUAUACAGGAAGAAACACUCCCUCGUGAGGGAGCUUGACGGUACUGUAAGAAUAAGGAUCGGCUAACUCCGUGCCAGCAGCCGCGGG